rfam:Methylophaga lonarensis MPL Contig53, whole genome shotgun sequence.
CAAGGUUAAUUGGCGUAUCGUUUUACGUUAUUGUUGAGCGAGGAAUAUUUAUGUUACAAUUCCCUGUUCACUCCUGAGAAAUUUAGGGUAAUUCAAUGGCUCGUAUAGCUGGUAUUAACAUUCCUGUG